AUUAGCUAGUUGGUAAGGUAACGGCUUACCAAGGCUACGAUGGGUAGGGGUUCUGAGAGGAUGAUCCCCCACACUGGUACUGAGACACGGACCAGACUCCUACGGGAGGCAGCAGUAGGGAAUAUUGGUCAAUGGGCGAGAGCCUGAACCAGCCAUGCCGCGUGUAGGAAGACGGCCUUCUGGGUUGUAAACUACUUUUCUACAGGAAGAAAAUGCCCUUGCGAGGGACACUGACGGUACUGUAGGAAUAAGCACCGGCUAACUCCGUGCCAGCAGCCGCGGUAAUACGGAGGGUGCAAGCGUUGUCCGGAUUUAUUGGGUUUAAAGGGUGCGUAGGCGGGCAUUUAAGUCAGUGGUGAAGUACUCCAGCUCAACUGGAGAGGUGCCAUUGAAACUGGAUGUCUUGAGUACGGUUGAAGUAGGCGGAAUUUAUGGUGUAGCGGUGAAAUGCAUAGAUACCAUAAAGAACACCGAUAGCGAAGGCAGCUUACUAAGCCGUAACUGACGCUGAGGCACGAAAGCGUGGGGAGCGAACAGGAUUAGAUACCCUGGUAGUCCACGCCGU
rnacentral:rRNA from 1 species